UUUUUAGCUUAUUUGGAUACUGGGGUAUGUAUCUUAUUGGUGUUCAGGUGAGCUACUACCUCUUCAUCGAAAAUCGUCCAACCAAGUAGAGAAGCAAGCAUGAAACGCAAUUCAGAGUCUGUCUUCUUACUAUUGUGUUUUGGAUUUUAACAUUGCUUAUAGACAGGCAUGUUGAAAGAAUUUCUCGUAGAAUGUGCAACCUUGCUUAUGUUACUUGGGUGGUGGCUCAAAAUCUACAGCUAUUAACAAUACGACUUCUUGCCGAUAACGUCGUUGGGAUUAAAGUUUUAGCUCUUGAAAGAGCAUUUGACCGUAAUUUAUUGGCUUCUUUUCUUGUGGCAAAUCUGCUGACGGGGCUGGUAAACUUAUCUGUGGAUACCAUAUUUGUGUCAUCAUCAUCGGGUGUUUUGAUCCUGGCUUCCUAUUCUUUGACUUGGUGUGUUGUCAUGGCGCUCCUAGAUUUUUCUGGCAUUAAG